rnacentral:rRNA from 1 species
CGUAGGGUCGAGCGUUGUCCGGAGUUACUGGGGCGUAAAGCGCAUGCAGGCGGCUCAUUACGCAUGGCGUGAAAGCCCCGGCUCAACCGGGGAGGGUCGUCGUGAACGGGUGAGCUUGAGGGUAUCAGGGGCUGGUGGAAUUCCCGGUGUAGUGGUGAAAUGCGUAGAGAUCGGGAGGAACACCUGUGGCGAAGGCGGCCAGCUGGGAUACACCUGACGCUGAGAUGCGAAGGCGUGGGGAGCGAACGGGAUU